rnacentral:rRNA from 1 species
UACGUAGGGGGCGAGCGUUGUCCGGAAUUAUUGGGCGUAAAGAGCUCGUAGGCGGUCUGUUGCGUCCGCUGUGAAAACCCGGGGCUUAACCCCUGGCUUGCAGUGGAUACGGACAGACUAGAGGUAGGUAGGGGAGAAUGGAAUUCCCGGUGUAGCGGUGAAAUGCGCAGAUAUCGGGAGGAACACCGGUGGCGAAGGCGGUUCUCUGGGCCUUACCUGACGCUGAGGAGCGAAAGCGUGGGGAGCGAACAGG